AGAGUUUGAUCCUGGCUCAGGAUGAACGCUAGCGAUAGGCCUAACACAUGCAAGUCGAGGGGCAGCACAUGAAGUAGCAAUACGGAUGGUGGCGACCGGCGCACGGGUGAGUAACGCGUAUGCAACCUGCCUACAACAGGGGAAUAACCCGUUGAAAGACGGACUAAUACCCCAUAACACAGGGAUCCCGCAUGGGAAUACUUGUUAAAGAUUUAUCGAUUGUAGAUGGGCAUGCGUUCCAUUAGCUUGUUGGUGAGGUAACGGCUCACCAAGGCAACGAUGGAUAGGGGAACUGAGAGGUUUAUCCCCCACACUGGUACUGAGACACGGACCAGACUCCUACGGGAGGCAGCAGUGAGGAAUAUUGGUCAAUGGACGCAAGUCUGAACCAGCCACGUCGCGUGAAGGAAGACGGCCCUACGGGUUGUAAACUUCUUUUGUAAGGGAAUAAAGUGCAGUACGUGUACUGUUUUGCAUGUACCUUACGAAUAAGGAUCGGCUAACUCCGUGCCAGCAGCCGCGGUAAUACGGAGGAUCCGAGCGUUAUCCGGAUUUAUUGGGUUUAAAGGGUGCGCAGGCGGGAGAUUAAGUCGGCGGUGAAAUUUUGCAGCUCAACUGUAAAAGUGCCUUCGAAACUGGUUUUCUUGAGUGUGGAUGAAGUAGGCGGAAUUUGUGGUGUAGCGGUGAAAUGCAUAGAUAUCACGAGGAACUCCGAUUGCGCAGGCAGCUUACUAAACCAUAACUGACGCUCAGGCACGAAGGCGUGGGGAUCAAACAGGAUUAGAUACCCUGCUAGUC
rnacentral:rRNA from 1 species